GAGUUAGUGACAUUUGAAGAUGUGGCUAUUUACUUCACCUUAAAGGAAUGGAAACUUCUCAUUCUCACUCAAAAGGUCCUUUGUAGGAAUGUGAUGCUGGAGAAUUUUGGAAAUGUGGUUUCAGUGGGUAAGAACUGAAGCCCCUGCAAUUAUCUUACCCCUAGAUUUUUCUUUAUUGUGUUAUUUGCUAAUGGCUCUCAGGGUUUCCAAUGAUAGCCCCUUGAAAUUUGACUCAGCUAGUCAUAGUCCUCAUUCCCUACCUUCUCAGGGCCAAUCAAGGGGUUUAUUUUGUUUUCCAGUGGUUUCUCCAGUUCUGUGGGGUUUGUCCUUGUGGAAAAAGGUAGCUCUGGUAUGUCUUUACUGUCUCAUUAUCCUGCCAGGGAACUUAACUCUGCUUUCUUGGACCUGGAACUCUUUUCUAACUACCUCUUCUGGGUUACUUAGCAUACCAUCUUGUGCCUUUCUUUGCCAACAAAGAGGAUUUCCAUUUUCUAAACCUGCUCUGAUCUCUCAGCUAGAGCAAGGAGCAGAGCCCUUUGUUCGAUGUCUACAGGAAACUGAGAGGGAAAGUGCCCAGAAAGGCCUUUGUUCAGUGUCAGAUGUUAAGAAGAUUGAAGAUGAGGAAUUAAUCAUAAAGCAAAGUUAUUUUAUAAAUGCAGAAUAUAAAAGACUCCAGGAGAAAGUUUCCCUUAUAUAUCUGUGUUUAGAGAAUCUAAUGAAUGGAAUGUUAGGAUACAGAGUCCAUGGAGUAAACCCAAGGCAGAGAGGCUUGAGUGAGAAAAUAUGCUCCAGUGCAGUGACUGACAAAACCAAGAAAACUUUGAGAAUAAAAAUAGGGGGGAAAGGCAAGUAAUUUCAG
rnacentral:lncRNA from 1 species